GCCGGGAUGGCGGAGCUUGGUUAAACGCGCCAGCCUUGAGAGCUGGUACCCUUCGGGGUGCGCAGGUUCGAAUCCUGCUCCCGGCG
rnacentral:tRNA from 1 species